UACGUAGGUGACCAGCGUUGUCCGGAUUUACUGGGCGUAAAGAGCUCGUAGGUGGUUUGUCGCGUUGUUCGUGAAAACCGGGGGCUUAACCCUCGGCGUGCGGGCGAUACGGGCAGACUUGAGUACUGCAGGGGAGACUGGAAUUCCUGGUGUAGCGGUGGAAUGCGCAGAUAUCAGGAGGAACACCGGUGGCGAAGGCGGGUCUCUGGGCAGUAACUGACGCUGAGGAGCGAAAGCGUGGGGAGCGAACAGG
rnacentral:rRNA from 1 species